AUAUUUAUUUUUCUUUUUAAUAAUUUUCCUUCAUCGUUACGGUUUAUCCUCUCUCACCCACGUCGAUCCCUCUUUUCCCUAUUCGGAGGAUUAUUUUUCUCUCACGUUCGCAUCUCUCUUUCUAGGAUUUCGACCACCGCCUGCACCACCAGCAUCGCACCACGGCCUAUCUCUUUCCCUAAAUUUCGACCUUAUCGAAGACCACCCACCACCACGUCACCAUUGCGCCACCACCGCACAAGCCGCCACCACCAGUACAUCUUCUGGCUAUCUCUUGCAGAAAUUAGACCAUAUCAAGAACCAAGCUUCACUACUACACCGCGCCACAACCAAUCUCUCUUCAAUUCGGCAUAGUGAUCUUUCGAUAUCUUUUGAUCAUGACAAAACAUAAUGGAACUGAUGACACAUUGUGGUGAGAAGGGUUUUGAGAUUCAGGUGUUGUGGAUUUCAUUAAUGCAGAUAAAGCAACAGAUGACCCUGAAGAAAAUGGAGAAUGAGAAACUAAAGGUAGAAGUUGUUCAAAUCCUAAAGGAGAACUGCGACAAGUGAUGGAUCUGCAGAUGCACAUGAACUUAGACAAGCCUAUUCUAGUGAACUAUUGGAGCACUUGGCAUCCAAGAACCUAAUUGAGUUGUGCAGUUAAGCAACGUUAAGGAUUUUCGACAAUCGGAGACUUGAGAAUUAGUUAGGCAUAAAAUAAAUUAGUUUUGUUAUUUUUGACAACAUGAUAUGCGAUUAUAUAUUGUUGGAUAUUUUUGUGUUUAAAGGAUUCUCGUUUAUUUCAAAUUGUAUUGGAUCGAAAUUUAUUGGAAAGCAGACUUAUGUA